CCCCGAUGCAGUCAACAUGGCGUUGACGAAACACGUGGAUUAUAAACUGAUCAACUUCAGACAAUGUUUAUUGCAAGACCAUACGAUUUCAUAACCAUAAUGGAUGUUCAUCAAACCCGGAGUAUCAACCUACACCCCCAGGAUCACUCAAGAUUAUGAUGGAAAGAUGCACUCAUCUGAAGAGAUCUCAAACAGCAUGACCAAGAAUUUGAAUACGUCAUCUCCUCACUGGUUCAGGUUACUUCAGUUCAGCUUGGCUACUUUUUCACUGCUAGAAUUUUAAAGAACACUCAAGAUGAUGACAAGCCUUGGUAUGAAAGAUGCGCCAGCUUGACUGACGAGAGCAUGCGAGAUGCUGCCUCAAAUUUCAAAUACGUCAUCUUCUCAGUGUCUCAAGCUAAUUCAGUUCAACUUCUUCAUGAUUCAUUCAAUACUAAGAUGUUAAGGUAUGUCUCACGUAGGGAGUUUUAUUUAUUGUAAAAAGGUCUGUUUACAUGGACUCUUAUAAAACCACUCAGACAAUCAGUCUUUACUGUUUACAACUGAAACAAAGUUGUUAUUUAUUUCAAAAACUAUGAACUUAACUAUGAGCUGUGUACAUUUUGUAGCUCCUUUGAAUCAUCAGGCCUGAUACUUUGCAGAGACAAGUUACGCAGCAAUUGCCGUCCAUGCACACGGUCUUAGUCAUUGCCUUGGUGCCCAUUGAGUAUACUAAUUCAAGUUUCCCUCACUGACUCUGGCAUUUUAAUGAUAAAAGCUGCCUUGCCCUUACAAGAAUGAAGCAUCAGGCCUGAAGAAUGGGUAAUGAAAUGCAGAAAUAUAGGGCUACUAGCUACAACUUACAUUUUGUACUGAAUACCAAAGCAGUGUAGUGAACACUCAUGCAACAUAGGCUAACAUGUACAGUUUUAAAACAUAACUUUACACAGAUGUAAGAGUUUGAAACACGUUCUAAAUACCUAGUUUGAUAAUUAUAUGUGGUAAAUGUGAUGUAUUUGUAUCACACGUGAUUAUAUUUAUCUGCAAAACAUUGUACGAGCCGAGCAGGGCCUUUGGUUUUAACGGAAUCCAAAUAUAUGGAAACUUAGAGUGAACAUCUGCAUUUCCAUUAAGUUGUUUGCUUAGUACUGAAAGUAAAUGUACAGUAUCUUUCCACCAUUUUAUCUUAAAAGCCAGAUUCCGCAAAUCCAUGAGAACCCCAACAUAAAUAGUUAUCAUAUUUUUUUAUGAUUCUUUGAUAUAUUUAACUUGGAAACUUGACAAUGCAGAUGGUCCUUCUAAGCUUCCGUACAAUUUUUGCACCAUCUUUUGAAGUCUGGUUCCAAGUCUCUUAGUGCUAAUACAACACUAAUUCUUAAUGUAGGUGCCAGACUAAUAUCUUCACACACUACUACUGGUAGGCCUACAUUAUGUAUACACUUAGCUAAUAAGUUAUCAAGUUUAUGUGUGUAUAAAGGCCCCAAACUCUUAAUAUUAUUAUGCCAGCUUAGGAAUUCACAGUUAUAAGUUGAGCGUACAUACUUUGUAAUACUUAAAAUAAGAAGUUUUAAGGUUAGAAGUCACGAACGUGUGUUCUGUGCAAUUUAAUUGUUAAAUUAGAGAGUUAUAUUAUAGCACGUACAACUUAUGCUAAGUGCAAAUUUAGAGUAAUUUUAAGCAAUUAUUUAUUAAAACGACCCUUUCCUGUAAGUUUGUUUGUCACCAGAAUGCCUAUUACAUGUAGAAUGUUAACAGGAUACCAUGGAGUGUGUCACGCACUGCUUUAAGGGUGUUUUAAAUGUUUUCACUCUCAUUUUUUGUAAUUUUCAGUGAUUUUCAUGUUUUUUUUCCAAAAAAAAAUUUGAUUUCCAAAAAAAUUUACGAGCAUGCGUUUCAGGCGAUUUUAAGAAAAUGAAAUUUAAAAAAGCAAAAUUUAGUGGUGAUUUUUGCAAGUUUUUACAAUUAUGGAUUUCCUUUAAUGGAAAAUGAAAAAAAUUAACGAGCGUGCGUUUCAGGCGAUUUUAAGAAAACCAUUCACCGUUAAUUUUGACUUUUUUUUUUUUUUUUUAUUAAAAUUAAAUAAAAUUUAAUUAAAAAAAAAAUCUCGCCUCCACUUUCCUUCCUGCCCGGUCCACCUCUCCCCCCUCUCUCUCUCUCUCUCCGGGUCCACGCCUCCCCCUGGUGUAUCUCCGCCAUGUUGCCUCCUCGUCGUGGUCCGGGGUCCGUGGGCGUUCCUCUGGUGUCUCCAUGUGGGUGGUGUCCUGGCCGGGGCUCGAACCCGCACAGAUGUCUCCAGUGUAGUCCUUUGAAGCCGUCUCCCUAUCCGCUAGGCUAUGGCGUCUUCCGGGUUGGAGAAAAAAAUUUUUGAGGUGAUAAACAUUAGAACGAAAUAUUGAUGCGCACAUGUAUUAUACGCGUAUAUACGCAAUAGCGAUUAGUCUCUGGAUCAGUCGUCGAGAGAGCGCCCUCUUGUGGCGAUAAUAAUUAAUAUGUUGUUAAUAGUGCCGCAAAUAAUUAAUAUUGCCAGAAGAGGGCGCUUUCUCAAGAGUAUUGUCUUGAAUCAAGACUACCAAUCAUGCCUACUCGGCCACAAGGGAACAUAAACUUGUUUGUCGGUUUUGUUUUAAUAAAUAAUUUAUUACGUUUGUCGUUUUUUUAAAUAAAAUUUGAAUGAGCUAAGAUUGCCUGAUGUGCACGUUUGUUUCGUUUUAUGGAGUCAAAUAAAUCUUUUUAAACAAAUAAAUACAGGCUUGACAACAAAAUAAUGACAAUCAGACAAAAACGGGUUUAGAUUAUUAAUGUAUCAUUUUUAUUUAUUACACUGAAACUAAAAAUUAUAAUUCUUAAAUGUUACCAUUUUUUUAUUAAGAAUCUUUAAAACAAAAAAACAACAUCGGUUACUUCAAAGAUCAGUAUUAAACUUAACUUUAAAUAAUUUUGGCAGUUACAUCAGUAGGCCUCAAGUAUUUAGAAGUAUUUGCGCAUACCACUUAAUUUAAAUCUUUUGAUGUGGAUGCCUAAACUGGUGACAUGGAUCUUGAAUAACCGUACAAUUUCUUAAGUUUUAAACCACAUAAGUUCACAGUGUCACUAUACGAUGAUGCAAGUUUGAAAUGGAUAACUAAACACUGAAUUAUAUAAUGUUUGGGACUUUUCAAGGAUUUAAUAAACAUGAGAAAAGAAAC